rnacentral:ribozyme from 1 species
AAAAAAGCAAAAGAAAUAGAAAAAGAAGGGUCUAGAAUUUUUAGGAACCUUGUUAUAAUUUAUUUAUUUGUAUCAUAUCAUUAUAUAUAUAUUCUUCAUUUUUUUUAGCAUUUUCAUUGUCGCAUUGACAACAGCAGCACACCACCAUUGUGGCACCAUGUGCAUGAAAAUAAAAGAUAAUAA